AGCAAACUUGAGUCUAACAAUAGUUCAUCUAACAAAGAGGAAAUUGUGAAAUCACCCUCGGUGAAGAUUGCUGGGGAAGCUACGAUGACACCAGCUAACCUCUAUGCGGUGCUCCUCCAACAAGCUCUUCAUCAAUUCGAGCCACCUGUGCUGCUACAGAUUAGUUUGCAUUUGGGCUGAACUCUAUAUGCAUUUUUCUUUCACAAACCAGUUGCAAAUCCAAACAAUCUGGUAAUGAAAUGAGCCAUUCCCGAGGAAAAAGCCAAAUCAGCAUGCAAGCAAUGAACACUUGCAGUGUCCCUUCAAAUUAAAGGACCACUCACUAGACUCCCUAUUUUUUCUGGGUUUGUUUUCCACUUACAGCUGCAUGAGCAUCUUCUGGCCACUGUGAAUUCUGAAAAGUUCUCAACGCAGCUUAAAUCCCUCUAUGAUGAAUCUAUUGAUGGAAUUGGCUCCGAAUUUCCUUUUUAAGGAGGCCUCAGAUGCUACCCUUUUGAGUAUGUGAUGAUAUCUUCGCAUAUCAAUAUUAGACCUUGCUGUUGAUAAUAAAACAAGCUAUAAUAUGUAUAUAUAAAUAUAUUUUUAUUUGUAUUGUCAAUAAUUUUGUUUUGUUUUAAAUAUAUUUUUGUAUUGUUGGAGGAUGUUUUAUAUAUUUCUGUAAAGAAUAUUUGGUUGACACUGUAUUGUUACAGGGUACAUAUAUAUAUAUAU